CCUACGGGAGGCAGCAGUGGGGGAUAUUGCACAAUGGGGGAAACCCUGAUGCAGCGACGCCGCGUGUGGGAAGACGGUCCUCUGGAUUGUAAACCACUGUCCCCAGGGACGAAGAUGACGGUACCUGGGGAGGAAGCUCCGGCUAACUACGUGCCAGCAGCCGCGGUAAUACGUAGGGAGCGAGCGUUGUCCGGAAUUACUGGGUGGAAAGGGAGCGUGGGCGGGACUGCAAGUUGGGUGUCAAAUCUACCGGCUCAACCGGUAGCCGCACUCAAAACUGCAGUUCUUGAGUGAAGUAGAGGCAGGCGGAAUGCCUAGUGUAGCGGUGAAAUGCGGAGAGAUUAGGAGGAACACCAGUGGCGAAGGCGGCCUGCUGGGCUUUUACUGACGCUGAGGCUCGAAAGUGUGGGGAGCAAACAGGAUUAGAUACCCGAGUAGUC
rnacentral:rRNA from 1 species